rnacentral:lncRNA from 1 species
CAGGUUAGGAGCCUGAGGCUUUGAGAAGACUGGUGGCUGAUCUCAGGUUUUCCAGUUUGAAAGUGAGAAGCCUGGAGUCUCAUAGGUUUGUCUUUGACCCUAAUGCUUCUGAGACCCCCUCAGUGCCCACCCUACUCCGCCUUCCUGGUCAGGUCAAUGGGCCUGAAGAACCAAGUUUUCCCACCCUUAAUUCUUUGUUUUCCAGAAAUGUGGACGCUCCACCCGCUGUUCAGCUUAGCUCUGCCUUGGCUGACUCCACAGCUGGGAAGGGAGGCUUCCCACUGAUCUGGGUAGCGGGCGCCCCCAAAAGUUCACCUUUCUAUGAGCUGAAUCUCACCUCACCAGAAGGUCCCUCCUCCGCGAGGCAUCCCUGCUUCUACAGAGCUGCACCCCCACAGACUGUUCAGAAGAGGAGAGUCCCAGCACAUGCACAGAUCCAGGAUUUUGGGUCAUCCCCCUCUGGACGCUUCUUAAAGGAGGGAGCCCAAUGUGGUGGAUGGAGGGAGCCUACUCCUGGUCAUACGACUGUCGCAGGUUGGCUGUCUUCCCUCUGGGAAACUGAGGUUUGGAGGGUAGGACAUUCUGGGGUGGCAGUGGCAGGAUCUGAACACACUCCGGUGGAGCACAGGCUGUGGAGGAGUUUGCCUGCAUUGCACCAGGAGAGGGGCAGGCAAUGGGGCAGCACUGAUGGGUGGCCACCCUGGGGACCCUCAGUGGUAAAGGCACAGAGGAAAGGAUAUCUUGUUUGGCUGGAGUCACCAAGAAACAUAAGCUGGAAUCAUUCAGAACUCACGCCACUGACUGGUGGUCCUUUAUCCAUGCAGUCAUUUUUCUUUCAUUUUAAAAUGAAUGUCAUUUAUCGUAUGUGCAACCUUUUUUUUUUUUUUUUUUUUUUUGUUCCAGGGAUUGAACUCAUGGGCAUCAGCCACAGAGCCACAACCCCAGCCUUAUUUUGUAUUUUAUUUAGAGAUGGUCUCACUGAGUUGCUAAACUCCUCGCCAUGGCUGAGGCUGGUUUUGAACUUGCGAUCCUCCUGCCUUAGCCUCCCGAGCCAUGCUGAGAUUAUAGGCCUGCACCACGGUGCCCAGCCCAUGCAGUCAUUUUUCAUCCAACACACCUUUUAUUUUUUUGGUGCUGGGGACUGAACCCAGGGCCUUGUGCAUGUGAGGCAAGCACUCUACUAACUGAGCUAUAUCCCCAGCCCUCAUCCAUAUUAUUAUAUAGUUUACUUUUUUUUUUUUCCCCG